UACGGGGGGGGCAAGCGUUGUUCGGAAUUACUGGGCGUAAAGGGUUUGUAGGUGGUCUGUUAAGUCAGACGUGAAAUCCCUCAGCUUAACUGGGGAACUGCGUCUGAGACUGAUGGACUUGGAGGGCAGGAGAGGAACGCGGAAUUCCAGGUGUAGCGGUGAAAUGCGUAGAUAUCUGGAGGAACACCGGUGGCGAAGGCGGCGUUCUGGACUGUUUCUGACACUGUAAAACGAAAGCCAGGGGAGCAAACGGG
rnacentral:rRNA from 1 species